GUAUCAUCUAAAACACCCCUGCAAGAGAUGGGUAUUUCACAGUAAAAAAGGUUAAAAAUACCCACAAUGCUGCAGCGCACAUGUGUACAGCAAGAAAAACAAACAGGCGGUCUCUGGAGGUAUAUUUUGAUGACAGAUGCCAGUUCUCUGUGGUCAAAUUUCGCUCUGAUUCCGUUCAGGGGAUGGGUCCCACCCAGGACAGCCGCGUGGCUCCGGACAGACGCUGCUGGAGGAUGCCGGAGGACGGGGAUGGGACGAGAUAGCUGGCACCAGCCCAGUGCUUGCAGAGCUGGCAGGGAUCCCAUGCAGGUUAAUACCGGAUUUCAGGCUGUUAUUUUCUUUUUCCUGACAUGUCGCCCAUCACAUUAUGAUUAUUAGAGUUUUCUUUUGAAGAGUUACCUGAGGUGAAGCCUAAUUGGACUCGAGGCUGCUGAGGAAGGAUGCCAGGGCUCGGGAGCGCUGCCAGCCGCUGAUGUGGCUCACGCACAGACAGCAAGCACAGUGAAGGGCUCGAUUUCAUGCCGUGAUUUAAGAUACAGCCUGUAAGAGGACACCGAUGAUAAAGCCUCGGUGCCUGCUCGAGAGCUGGAAGCAGGAACGGUGCCACUUCAAUGCACAGAGACUGAGCAGCGUUUAAUAUAAUAUUUAAGGGCAAAACAGCUAUAUAUCAAAUGACAGAAUGCAACAAAGGAGAGGCUUAAUGGCUGCGAACUUUAAUCCCGUUAGAGUUUCCAGGCUCUCUUGCUGGUUCUGGGAAGCCAGCAGCGGCUAACAGAUAGUGCAAAGCCUACCUGUUAGUGGUUUAAAUAAAAUUACCUUGAAUACAGUGAAGGUCUUAUUC
ensembl:lncRNA